rnacentral:rRNA from 1 species
GAUGAACGCUGGCGGCGUGCCUAAUACAUGCAAGUCGAGCGAACAGACGAGGAGCUUGCUCCUUUGACGUUAGCGGCGGACGGGUGAGUAACACGUGGAUAACCUACCUAUAAGACUGGGAUAACUUCGGGAAACCGGAGCUAAUACCGGAUAACAUGUUGAACCGCAUGGUUCAACAGUGAAAGACGGUCUUGCUGUCACUUAUAGAUGGAUCCGCGCCGCAUUAGAUAGUUGGUAAGGUAACGGCUUACCAAGGCAACGAUGCGUAGCCGACCUGAGAGGGUGAUCGGCCACACUGGAACUGAGACACGGUCCAGACUCCUACGGGAGGCAGCAGUAGGGAAUCUUACGCAAUGGGCGAAAGCCUGACGGAGCAACGCCGCGUGAGUGAAGAAGGUCUUCGGAUCGUAAAACUCUGUUAUUAGGGAAGAACAAAUGUGUAAGUAACUAUGCACGUCUUGACGGUACCUAAUCAGAAAGCCACGGCUAACUACGUG